GACGAACCGUGCAAACGUUGUUCGGAAUCACUGGGCUUAAAGGGCGCGUAGGCGGGUGGAUAAGUCAGGGGUGAAAGCCCACGGCUCAACCGUGGAAGUGCCUUUGAUACUGUUCAUCUCGAGGGAGGUAGGGGCGUGCGGAACUUCCGGUGGAGCGGUGAAAUGCGUAGAUAUCGGAAGGAACACCGGUGGCGAAAGCGGCGCGCUGGACCUCUUCUGACGCUGAGGCGCGAAAGCCAGGGGAGCAAACGGG
rnacentral:rRNA from 1 species